GGUCAGCGCCAGACGUCUCUCCUCCUCCGCGGGGCUGCGGUGUCGCUUCAUCCGAUUCUCGCGAUGCGGACGAGGGAGGCGUCGACCCGCCGAUAUCAACAGGUACGCGGAGCAACUUGAAGUACAAACGGCAAGCGAGACUUCCACUUUAUGGUCCACCUUCUCGUUCCCGGCCUGGUAUUUAGAGAGAACUUGAAGGUCGAGAGAAAAAAACCCGCCAGCGAUGGAAAGCUGGGAUGAAGAGAAAGAAAAAGACGAAGAUAAGGAGGAAGGUAAGUAGGGGGGGUCGGCAGGGAGGCCACGGUGCAGGGGAGGUGAUGUUAGACUAAUGACACAGGUGAUGAGGUGACCGCCACGCUGUGCAGGAAGUAGAUGCAUCAAUCUCGGCUCACUUCCGCUCAAUGGCCAUUAUCCCUCCUGCUGCUCUUAAUUCACCAGCGGAGAAUGCAUCCGAGCAGGUGGUCGGAGGGCCGGAACUGUGGGUGAAGUGAGAGGUGAAAGUGAGGGGUCCGGGCCCCUGGGAGGAAAGGGAGGUGUGAAAAUGGAGGGGGGAGGAGAGAAAAAUGAGAGAGAAAAAACUGAAUGA